AGAGUUUGAUCCUGGCUCAGGACGAACGCUGGCGGCGUGCCUAACACAUGCAAGUCGAACGGAGAAUUUUAUUUCGGUAGAAUUCUUAGUGGCGAACGGGUGAGUAACGCGUAGGCAACCUGCCCUUUAGACGGGGACAACAUUCCGAAAGGAGUGCUAAUACCGGAUGUGAUCAUCUUGCCGCAUGGCAGGAUGAAGAAAGAUGGCCUCUACAAGUAAGCUAUCGCUAAAGGAUGGGCCUGCGUCUGAUUAGCUAGUUGGUAGUGUAACGGACUACCAAGGCGAUGAUCAGUAGCCGGUCUGAGAGGAUGAACGGCCACAUUGGGACUGAGACACGGCCCAAACUCCUACGGGAGGCAGCAGUGGGGAAUCUUCCGCAAUGGACGAAAGUCUGACGGAGCAACGCCGCGUGAGUGAUGAAGGAUUUCGGUCUGUAAAGCUCUGUUGUUUAUGACGAACGUGCAGUGUGUGAACAAUGCAUUGCAAUGACGGUAGUAAACGAGGAAGCCACGGCUAACUACGUGCCAGCAGCCGCGGUAAUACGUAGGUGGCAAGCGUUGUCCGGAAUUAUUGGGCGUAAAGAGCAUGUAGGCGGCUUAAUAAGUCGAGCGUGAAAAUGCGGGGCUCAACCCCGUAUGGCGCUGGAAACUGUUAGGCUUGAGUGCAGGAGAGGAAAGGGGAAUUCCCAGUGUAGCGGUGAAAUGCGUAGAUAUUGGGAGGAACACCAGUGGCGAAGGCGCCUUUCUGGACUGUGUCUGACGCUGAGAUGCGAAAGCCAGGGUAGCGAACGGGAUUAGAUACCCCGGUAGUCCUGGCCGUAAACGAUGGGUACUAGGUGUAGGAGGU
rnacentral:rRNA from 1 species